GAGAAAUAUCGAUGUGAGAGAGAGAAGCAUCGAUCAGCUGCCUCCCACACGCACCCGGGUCAGGGAUCGAUCACGCAACCCGGUGUAUAUCUGGGACGACACUCCAGAAAUAACAGCCGAGCCGCCCGGCCCCGGCGAGCUCACCGCUUCCCUGCACAAUGUCGAUCAGGCUGAGCGGGUGGGGGGGCACUGAGUGGCCGAAGCAGACAGGUGGAAGGGGAGAAAGGGGCCAUCUGUCCCAGGGUGUGGUGUCCUGGCCAGCUUCCUGUCCCAGACCUGCUCCUCUGUCCACGCAGAGACUUCUCUGCCCCUCAGUGGCCCAGUGCGGGGGUUGGGGGGGCCCCGGGGCUGUCCCAGGCUGGGCAAGCCAGUGACUGCCCACCAUAGGUGGACAGAACCGUGGUAGCAGAGGGAAGUGGAGCCAGAGAGGGAGGGAGGGAAAAGGGAAGGAGAAAGGGUGAGUCUGGCACACAGAGGGUGGCCAGUAGGAGUGGACAGGCGGGGGAGGAGUGAGGGAGUGACGGCUGUGGAGCCAGGGUGUCACGGGGCGGCCCCCUGCUCCCCGGAGCUGGGCUGUGAGUUCCACAAACAGCAGCCGGGGGCACAGUUCAAGAGGUGGACCUGAGCCCCCGGGGCAGAGCAUGUGACUGCAGGUCAAGAGGUCCCCGGUUCAAAUCCGGGUGCCCCCUAUUUCUUUGACCCUCUCCUUUAGUUACUGAAGCUGGUGCUGCAAUUUCCACCUCUUCCUCCCACAUCUGACCAGUGACCACUCUGAUGAAAAUUGAAAUUGAAGAUUUGGACCAUCAUCCAGACAGCAGCUGCUGCAGUCUCAUUGAAGUGAAGAGGCUGAUGAAGCUGGCCCAGGCCACACGGGACUCAGGGCUUGUGUGGGGGCCUCACUUCUUUCCCUGAAUGUCUCAUUUCCUCAGCCUCACUGUAAUCUCCAGGCAGAAAACUGUCUCUUUGUUCUCCUCACUCCCACCACUUGCUUCCCAGAGGCAACCGUGAGGACGUGAGAACCACGUCCAAAGUAAAGGCUCUGUCCGGUCUCGGGAUUCUCAAGGGAGCUGCGGCUGCCGCGGACUUGACCCCUGACUCCCCCUUCCCUCGCCUUUCUGUCCUGCCAUUUUUUCCUUUUCACUCUAGGCCAGUAUUUCCUGGAUGAAAAUGCUUAGAUGUCGAUUCUACUUUAUAUAAGAUAUUUUUUAAUUCAAAUGUAGUGAAGACCUAAGGAGUAUAAAAAGUCCCGGAGAGGGAUCUCCACCUUCCUUAAUGAACAAGGUAAUUUGAAACGACCUUUCCUAUGAGGACAGAUAAAAACGCUGG